rnacentral:rRNA from 1 species
UUCCAGACUCCUACGGGAGGCAGCAGUGAGGAAUAUUGGUCAAUGGGCUUACGCCUGAACCAGCCAAGUCGCGUGAGGGAUGACGGUCCUAUGGAUUGUAAACCUCUUUUGUCAGGGAGCAAAGGGCGCCACGUGUGGCGUUUUGCGAGUACCUGAAGAAAAAGCAUCGGCUAACUCCGUGCCAGCAGCCGCGGUAAUACGGAGGAUGCGAGCGUUAUCCGGAUUUAUUGGGUUUAAAGGGUGCGCAGGCGGAAUGUCAAGUCAGCGGUAAAAUUUCGGGGCUCAACCCCGUCGUGCCGUUGAAACUGGCGGGCUGGAGUUGGAGAGAAGUACGCGGAAUGCGCGGUGUAGCGGUGAAAUGCUUAGAUAUCGCGCAGAACCCCGAUUGCGAAGGCAGCGUACCGGCUCCACACUGACGCUGAGGCACGAAAGCGUGGGUAUCGAACAGGAUUAGAUACCCCAGUAU